rnacentral:rRNA from 1 species
ACGGAGGGUGCAAGCGUUAUCCGGAUUCACUGGGUUUAAAGGGUGCGUAGGAGGGUAGGUAAGUCAGUGGUGAAAUCUUCGAGCUUAACUCGGAAACUGCCGUUGAUACUAUCUAUCUUGAAUACCGUGGAGGUGAGCGGAAUAUGUCAUGUAGCGGUGAAAUGCUUAGAUAUGACAUAGAACACCAAUUGCGAAGGCAGCUCGCUACACGAAUAUUGACUCUGAGGCACGAAAGCGUGGGGAUCAAACAGGA